rnacentral:miRNA from 1 species
ACUCCUUGGUUAUCAACUUCGA